AGUUUUGCGCAGUGGCAGUAUUGCAAUCAAUGAAGUUCAUCUGAGGGACAAUUAUUGCUAAUUACUAAAAAAUGACAAA
rnacentral:snRNA from 1 species